AAGACCUCUGGCCAUCUGCUGCCUCUGCCUGUCCUGAAGCGCUCUGCUGUCGGACGACUUUGGUGACACCACGAACACCAUGGAACGAUGCAGAGAGUGGACAUAAACAAGAACAGAUUUACUGCUAAAAACCCUCAUCUCUCUAAUAAAAAGUUUAAUCAACUCUUCAGAAAAGCAUGCACAUGUAAAAGCAGACUGGUGCUUGAACUGCUGCCGCUGCGGAAACAUUUUAACCCAUUAAAAUGUUCAAAAAUUUCUAAAAAAAAAAAAAAAAAG